AUGGACGCCGCCUUCCGGGAGGCCGCCCUCAAGGGCCCGCUCUGGGAGCAAGUCUCCAGGCGGCUGGCGGAGAUGGGGCACACGAGGAGCGCCAAGAAGUGCCGCGAGAAGUUCGAGAACGUCGACAAGUACUACCGCCGCACCAAGGACGGCCGCACCGGCCGCGGCGACGGCAAGACCUACCGCUUCUUCACCGAGCUCGAGGCGCUCCACGGCGCCUCUGCCGCGCACCACCCGCCGCCUGCUCACGUGGCCGUCGCGCCACCGUCCGCCCCAGCCGCGAGCACAAUUGGCGCGUACUCCGGCGUGCCCUCGGCGCCUUCGCGCGUCCUGCUGGCCGAGCCGUCUCCGCCGCCCCUUCUCCUAACGCAUCAGCCGGUGUCUACCGAGGCGGCCGCAUGCCUGACGACGACGACGGCGGCGGUGGUGGGCGACGCGAGCUUCUCUGAUGGCUCGGACGGGGAGGACACGGACGAGACGGCCGACGGCGGGAAGCGGAAGAGGCGGGGCGGGAGCGGGAGCUGGGGCCAUGGCGGCAAGGCCAUGAGGUUCUUUGAAGGGCUGAUGCGGCAGGUCAUGGAGCGGCAGGAGGCCAUGCAGAGCCGCCUCCUGGAGGCCAUCGAGCGGCGCGACCAGGACCGCAUGAUCCGCGAGGAGGCCUGGCGCCGGCAGGAGGUGGCGCGCCUCGCCCGCGAGCAGGACGCGCUCGCGCAGGAGCGCGCCGUGGCCGCCUCCCGCGACGCCGCCGUCGUCUCCUUCAUCCAGAGGAUCACCGGGCAGAUCGUCCCCGUGCACGCGCCGCCAUCGUCCUUCCCCGCUAAGCCGGCCGCCACCGUCAACUCGGUCAAGCCGCCGGCGCUGCAGCCGACGCCCGUCGCCUCCGCUGCGCCCGCACCUCCUACUCCACGGCCGCCCGUUCAGGCGCAGCCGAACGUGACUACGCCAAUGAGAACACAACCGCAGACGCCGCCGCCGCAGCCACAGCAGCACGCAACGCCGACGGCGACAGAGCCACAGCCAGUGACGCCGCAGCCGCAGCACCUACAGAGCAAGGAGAUCGUCGUCGUCCACGCGGCGGAGCAGCCGCCGGUGGACAUGGCCGGCGGCGCGUCGCCGUCUCGGUGGCCCAAGGCGGAGGUGCACGCGCUGAUCCAGCUGCGGACGGAGAUGGAGACGCGGUACCAGGACACGGCGCCCAAGGGCCCGCUGUGGGAGGACAUCUCGGUGGGGAUGCGGCGGCUGGGCUACAACCGGAGCUCCAAGCGGUGCAAGGAGAAGUGGGAGAACAUCAACAAGUACUUCAAGAAGGUCAAGGAGAGCAGCCGGAAGCGCCCCGAGGACUCCAAGACCUGCCCCUACUUCCACCAGCUCGACGCGCUCUACCGCACCAAGGCGCUCGCAUCCUCCUCCUCCUCCUCCCCCGUCGUCCAUGCGCCGGUCACCGUGCUCUCGCCGGUGCCGCUGUCUUCCCAGACGCCACCUCCUGCGGCGCAGCACGUCGAGCACGGGGCCAAGAGCUCGAUCACCAACGGCAACGGCCAUGGGAACGGUAACGGCGCGGCCAUGCAAGUGAAGGCGAGCAACGGCGCCGGUGCUGCGGCGAUGUUCCCCUCCCCCGUCCAUGCCGCCGGCAACGGCGGCAACAACGGCACGGCGACGAACAAACUGGAAUCCAAGCAAGAAGUUAUCCCGAAGGAGACGGCAACGGUGGUACCGCCGGCCGUGGCCAUGAACCACAGCUACGGCCGCAACGACAGGAGGGACGUGUACGACCUGGACAGCGACAGCAUGGACGAGGACGAGGAGGACGACUUCGACGACGACGACGACGACGACGACGAGGAAGACGACGCCGUCGGCGUCCCCGGCGGCCGCAACAUCAACAUGCCGCCGGCGCAGUACGACGCCCACUUCCUCCAAAGGCAGCAUCAGCAGCAACAACAUCAGAACCACAACCACAACCACAACGUCGUCCGGCCCAACGCAGCGAACGGCAGCGGCAACCCGCCGGCGGGCAACGCGGCGCCUACAUCUGCCCCGGCGACAAGCGGGACGCCAUUCCUGGCCAUGGUCCAGUGA
rnacentral:rRNA from 1 species